rnacentral:lncRNA from 1 species
UAAAUUUAAAUCUUGCGGAUAAUUCUCAAAUUGAUUCUGAGAUCCUAAUCUAAUUAGGACUAUCAGUUAUAACCGAAUCGAAUAAUUAAAUCUAAUUUAAUUAAGUAGCUUCCUUUUAUUUUCAUCGUUUACACUAAACUCUUUAGUGAAUGACUCUCAUCCAAACGAUUCGGGUGCACACAAUUCCUAAUGUGUGUGACCGCAUAGGUUCAUUACCAUUCGGCAGUGGAGCUCAACAUCAAACUCUUUGAUAUUUAAUUAGAACUCUUCUAAUCGAUAAAUAAGAACAAUUCAAUUCGAAUUAUUCAUAUUCUCUCACCGUCCGUAAGUGACACCUAGCAGUAUAUCACGGCAAUCCAGAAUGGUGAUGAAGAAUGAACCUUUUCGCUUACAGUUACCAUGUGAUUAAUUCCUUCCAACAUACAAUGUCCCAAUAGAACUAAGGUUAUGGUUACUCGCCAAACCUUAUCAUUCGACCAUAUGACUAGACUAUCUGAAAUCAACUCAAUAUGGCAACACAGUUGAAAACUCUUUUCAUAUACCAUGUACCCUGGCCAGGGGUUUUCCGAGUCGAGUCCGAUAAACUACAUAGGACAUUCUCCCUCAUCAUUGAGAGUGUUGGAUUCCUUAUUGCGCAUUCACAUGCCUCCUCGCAUAAAUCACUACAACCAAUCAGUACCGAACAUAGACCCGUGUCUAGAGUCUAAGUAUUAGUACUGUCAAACGGUAGCAAUCUAUACGUGAAGCAACUAUGAUGCCUCAGGUCCAAGGAGUACUUCACACAACUGUAGCAAUGAACUUGUCACUGGCGAGCAUAGAACCAUAUGACUAUUC